AAAAACUUUCAACAACGGAUCUCUUGGUUCUGGCAUCGAUGAAGAACGCAGCGAAAUGCGAUAAGUAAUGUGAAUUGCAGAAUUCAGUGAAUCAUCGAAUCUUUGAACGCACAUUGCGCCCGCCAGUAUUCUGGCGGGCAUGCCUGUUCGAGCGUCA
rnacentral:rRNA from 1 species